CGCGGCCUAUCAGCUUGUUGGUGAGGUAAAGGCUCACCAAGGCGACGACGGGUAGCCGGCCUGAGAGGGCGACCGGCCACACUGGGACUGAGACACGGCCCAGACUCCUACGGGAGACAGCAGUGGGGAAUAUUGCACAAUGGGCGCAAGCCUGAUGCAGCGACGCCGCGUGAGGGAUGACGGCCUUCGGGUUGUAAACCUCUUUCAGCAGGGAAGAAGCGCAAGUGACGGUACCUGCAGAAGAAGCGCCGGCUAACUACGUGCCAGCAGCCGCGGUAAUACGUAGGGCGCAAGCGUUGUCCGGAAUUAUUGGGCGUAAAGAGCUCGUAGGCGGCUUGUCACGUCGGGUGUGAAAGCCCGGGGCUUAACCCCGGGUCUGCAUUCGAUACGGGCUAGCUAGAGUGUGGUAGGGGAGAUCGGAAUUCCUGGUGUAGCGGUGAAAUGCGCAGAUAUCAGGAGGAACACCGGUGGCGAAGGCGGAUCUCUGGGCCAUUACUGACGCUGAGGAGCGAAAGCGUGGGGAGCGAACAGGAUUAGAUACCCUGGUAGUCCACGCCGUAAACGGUGGGAACUAGGUGUUGGCGACAUUCCACGUCGUCGGUGCCGCAGCUAACGCAUUAAGUUCCCCGCCUGGGGAGUACGG
rnacentral:rRNA from 1 species